rnacentral:snRNA from 1 species
AUCGCUUCUCGGCCUUUUUGGCUAAGAUCAAGUGUAGUAUCUGUUCUUAUCAGUUUAAUAUCUGAUACGUCCCCUAUCUGGGGACCAUAUAUUAAAUGGAUUUUUGGAACAGGGAGAUGGAAGAAGAGCUUGCUCUGUCCACUCCACGCAUCGACCUGGUAUUGCAGUACCUCCAGGACCGGUGCACCUCUC